UACGAAGGGGGCUAGCGUUGUUCGGAUUUACUGGGCGUAAAGCGCACGUAGGCGGAUUGUUAAGUCAGGGGUGAAAUCCUGGAGCUCAACUCCAGAACUGCCUUUGAUACUGGCAAUCUUGAGUCCGGAAGAGGUGAGUGGAACUCCUAGUGUAGAGGUGGAAUUCGUAGAUAUUCGGAGGAACACCAGAAGCGAAGGCGGCUCACUGGCCCGAUACUGACGCUGAGGCGCGAAAGCGUGGGGAGCAAACAGG
rnacentral:rRNA from 1 species